CAUCUCCACUCCCUCUUGUCCCCUCAACACCCCUCUGUCCCCAACAUCCUUCCCUCGUCCCACCACACUCCCUCUGUCCCAUCAACACUCCCUCUGUUCCCAUCAACACUCCCUCCCUUUGUCCCACCAACACUCCCUCCUUGCCCAUCAACACUCCCUCCCUCUGUCCCAUCAACACUCCCUCCCUCUGUACCCUCACACUCCUCCUCGUGUCCCCUCAACACUCCCUCCUCCCUCUGUCCCAUCAACACUCCCUCCCUUGUCCAUCAACACUCCCCUCCCUGUGUCCCAUCAACCCCCCUCCUCCUUGUCCCACCAACACUCCCUCCCUCUGUCCCACGCAUACACUCUCCUCCCUCUGUCCCACCAACACUCCCUCUGUCCCACCAACACUCCCUCUGUGCCACCAACACUCCCUCCCUCCCUCUGUCCCACCAACACUCCCUCUGUCCCACCAACACUCCCUCUGUGCCACCAACACUCCCUUCCCUCUGUGCCACCAACACUCCUUCCCUCUGUCCCACCAACACUCCCUCUGUCCCACCAACACUCCUUCCCUCUGUCCCACAACACUCCCUCUGUCCCACCAACACCCUUCCCUCGUCCCACCAACACUCCUGC
rnacentral:lncRNA from 1 species